CCUUUCCUUUCUCCUUUCCUUUCCUUUCUCCUUUCCUUUCUCGUUUGGUUUUUAUUUUUUUUAGUUCUUAGUCCUCCAGAGAGGAAGAAAGAACACUGAAGCUCCUCUGGGACGCAGAAAGGCUCCCCUGCCCUUCCCUUAAACACAACGCCUGCCAGGAGGGCCCCGCAAGCCCGCUCCGCUCCUGCCAGGCACCGGGGCUCACCCCCAGGGGGGCUUUGCCAGCACCCAGUGGAAAUUAAAAUUACAGCCUGGGCAGGAAAUUCAAAUUACAAGCCGGCAGGACCGCUCCUGGCCAAGGCCACCGGUCCGUGCAAGUCAGACCACCGACCACCCAGGGCUGGGGACUUUCAGGGGCACGCUUCCAGCUUUUAUUCUCCAGAAACUCCAGUUCUUCCUGGCACCCCUUGCUUCAGUCUUCCCCUGCUGGAAGAGGUCACUUAGUCUUUCGAGGGGCCAGAUUGCCAAAGCCCGGCCGGUCCAUUCCCACGAGGAAAGAAAGGUAGCUUUGUCUUGUACAGAAACUCCAGUUCUUCCUGGCACCGCUUGCUUCAGUCUUCCCCUGUUGGAAGAGGUCACUUAGUCUUUUUGGGGGCCAGAUUGCCAAAGCCUGGCCGGUCCAUUCCCUCCACACCCCCCGCGCUCAGGGCCCGAGGGGCAGCCCUGCCCCGCACAGACCCCGGGCUCGCCUUCAGGCCGUCUGUCCCAAGGCUGGAGCGAUCCUGCCAUCAGCCCGUGGCCACGAGGGGCACAGAAAGCCCAGGGCCAACAGCAAAUCCAGGCAGCUGCAGGAAGAGGUUAUCCCUUCCCAGCUUUUUGGCAGUGGGGGGAAGGUGCCUUUCCCCGGCCCGGCAGCGGCAUCGUCCCUGCCGCAGAGCCCGCCCCGAUCCUGGAAGCCUUGGAGACAAUUCCUCUGUCACAGCCCACUUCCUGUGGAAAAACAGCAAAGAUUGGAUCUUAGGAGAAAAUCCUUCCCUGUGAGGGUGGGGAGGCCCUGGUACAGGUUGCCCGGAGGAGCUGUGGCUGCCCCAUCCCUGGAAGCAUUCAAGGCUAGGCUGGAUGGGGCUUGGAGCCACCUGGCACAGUGGCAGGUAUCCCUGAACAAGAUGAUCCUUAAGGGCCCCUCCAACCCAAACCACUCCAGUAUUCCAUGAGGAUUCUGUGAGCUCUCCCUGCCAUUCAUUUGCCACCGUUUACUUUUCAAUUUAAAUUCCCACAUUCGCAUGGUUUGUUAAAGGAAUCAUUUUAAAAUUAUUCCAGGAAAAAAAAGGGGAGCAAGUGUAAAACAUACAAGAAUCAUUCCUAUGUCCACCAAAUCAUUAGAAUUGGAAGCGUAUGGCCUCACCUCUGUCCUUGUUAUUGUUUCCUGGAAAACCCUAUGAUCCCACAGUUUUGAAGGGAGAUCCACUGGAAUGACCAGGUUUGCUCUGACAGAGAGUCAGGGGGUUUUAGAUCACUUGUUCCUCUGCAUCUUUACUCUUUAACCAGGUUUCCCCCAGAACCAUGCUGCGGGAGAAGGUUGGAAUUACUAGAAAUGGAUCAAGUUCACAUGUUGUCCCACUGCUUUCCCACUAUUUUCCAAUUCUUGGAAUCACCCACCAAUGUGCCCUAGGAACCCACUGUGAAAUAGACCAAUCAGAGGGACAUCUGGAAGAGAGAAAACCAGAUCCAGCAGCAGCCAAACCAAUCCCAUGGCUCUUUUUACCUGCUCUCCAGGUGCUGCUGCCAGAGCUCCCAGCAGCCGUACCCGUUCCCAAAGAGGCCGGGUGGUGCCGUGGAAGACACUCAUGACAUGCAGGAGGGUGAGGAGGCACUUCUGGACGUGCUCUUUGCUGUGAAUUCGGAUGCCAGAGUCCUGAUUGUCUUCAUGGUCCCUUCCAACCCAAACCAGCCUGUGAUUCCAUGAUCAGCACCUCUUCCAAGUCCCUCCCAGAAAUGUCCUCCCCUAACCCAGAACUUCUCCCCUCCUCUUUUUGGCACAUCAGGGAUGUGCUGCCAAGUGCCACGGCACGGCAAGCCUCGGCAUUCCCUGGGGGUGCCAUUCCACGCUGACCUUGUGGCUUCAGUGCUCCCUCAGUCCCAAUUCCAGUUGGGAGUGUCUCAAAGAGCAGUGCGUGUUCCCCCUCACACCCCACCACUGGCACAGAUGGGAUGGCACUGACUUACUGGCUGUGCGGGAAUAUCCUGUCCCAGGAAUAUCCAGAGUGCCCCCCCUGCAAAUUCCUGAGCCCUGUCCAAAAAUCACCAGGUGACACGAGGGGUUUAUCCAUAGUGUCUGUUUUCCAUGAUCCAGCACUUCAGUGACUCCAGAGUCAAAUAAAUCAGGAUCAAUCCCAGGUCA
ensembl:lncRNA